UAUCUGUGAUGUUUACUCCUGCUAUUUGUAGUUUCCACCAGAGGUUGAAAGACCAAAGAUGGCCCAAUACUUUCCUUGGAUGUCUUGAGCAA
ensembl:snoRNA SNORD14 Small nucleolar RNA SNORD14